UUUGGGGCGCCUAUUUGGACCCCCUUCCCUACUGAGAGCCGCCGGCAGAAAGGGCACUAAAGGCGAAGGGUCCCAGCUGUGCGGGGAGCGUCAGGACCCUCUAGGCGUGACGAAGCAGCGAGGGGCAGGGUGGGGGGAAGGAGCGGAGAGCAUCUGAGAGGGGUAUUCUCACACGGCAGAGAGAUAAAAUAGAAAACCUCAGUAUUUAAAAAUCAGUACUUUCUUCUGUAUCUGUUCUUCCCUUUAAUUGAUGGCGUCUGCCUGUGAAAACCGAGGACCAGAACCAGCAGAACGCGAUCAGAAGUUUUGCUGUGAGGAAAGCGUGGGGUGCCGAGGGCUCGCCAGGACGCUCAGUCUACUUAGAUCUGCUGUUGCUGCACCAGCCUCCCGGCAGCUGUCGGGGAUCCGGAUUCCACGGGCCUUUCCCUCCCGAAACAUCAGCUGCCUUCCUCUGAGUAACUGUCCAAGAAACUGCACGCAUAUUUUCGGAGGAAUUUGAAAAGCCUAAAUCUGAAAAUCUUCUCUUUUAUAAAUGACACACGAACUAUCCAUGAACAAGAAAAUACACCCAGUUUAUCCAAAUGGCUGGGUCAGGAAGUGGAAGAGGACAUGCUUCAUUUGCCUUCAACAUGGAGGUUGUUGGCUUUGGUAAAGGUGCAGCUCUACCUGAUGUCAUCUGUAAGCCUCCACCACCAUUGCCAGUAAGUACAGCCAGUAUCUUGGAGCACACUCUGUAAUAAGGUAAACUGUGUUCACACUCAUGUUUAGUGAACAUAAUGAAAUGCAUGAAAACCCCUAAGAACUUUGGAUUUUAUAAUAAGUCACCAUUUCUCUUAAAUCAUCAAAAAGGGGCUUUCCUGUCCCUUUGUUAAAUGUUGUAUCCCGUAUUUAAGUGUAUUGCUUGCAAGGAGUUAGUACGUUGAAGUCCUCAUUAUGAUUUUCUGCACAUUACAAGAAUAGAAACACUGGAAAUGAGUUUACAUUAAUCUUUGAAGCUAUAAAUAGAUUUGAUGAUUUUAGAAAAUUACUAUUUAUGCAAACAUGAAAGAUUGUGUAUGAUUGUCCUGUACUGCAGAAGCCAGCAUUUGAAAAUAAGUGAAAGAUACUUUGUGUAAUUAAGGGAGCUUGAGACUUGGCAUUUAGGAUGUAUUUGAAAAUCAAAGGGGAAUAAAGACCAUUUACUGACUGCGUUUUGAUGUGCAGGGAAGCUUGACCUACUGAACCAUAUAUUAUUCAUCCUCUUGAUCCAGCAUUGCAAUUAAGAUGUGUGAUUCCAUAUUACUAAGUCAUCUGUAACUGUUUUUUUAUGUGAAUGUUGCAGUCUGCUUGACAGCACAGUUCUGUGCCAUCUGAAUUCUGUAUACACUGCAUCUUUUGAGGUACAAUCAGGUUCACAGGGGUAUUACUAGCCCCAGUAUAUUUAAUGUAUACCAUGGACAAGGUAAGAAAGCUUUUCUCCUUCUUUGAACAAAAUUUCAGAACCAAGUUAAACUUCUCAGGGGAAAUCCGGUGCUAUUCAGGAAAAUCAGAGUUAACCUAGUUGUGUAAGUACAGUCAAUAAAAAAUUCAAGUGUUGAUUUAAUUGAUUUAAUUCAAGUGUUGAUUUAAUUUUGGACAAUGACCAAAAGUAUGUUAUAGCUUUGACUAACUUACAGUGAAAUUAUUUGAAGCAGCGAAUUAUUGCUGUUGCAUAUUUCUACUAGACACUUUGUGAGUUCACUCAAAGUUUCUGUAAAUGCAAUUAGAAACCCAAUUAAGGAGCAGCAGCUUACCAUCAGCAACAUUAAGUGAUUUAAAGCGCUGUCCAAUUAGCAAAUAUAGAUGGAAGCAGUAAGCUCCUUUCGUGGUCCAGAUCUGGGACUUGUGAUAGCACUUCAUGCUUUGCAACAUACCACUUAGUUAUUGAUUAAGCACCAUUUAUCACAUGAGAGAAACUACAUCCAUCCUGUAAUUCUGUCUGUAGUGUUCUGGAUAUUUUUAAAACUGUUUUUGCAUAUUUAUCUUUCUUUCAAGAUUAAAGUGAAACAAAAACAAAACACCCAAAAACAAACCCCAGAGAAACACCCACAAAAAACCUCCCUCAAACCCCAGAAAUACAACUCUUAACAAUUCAUUUAAACUCAGCUGGUAGAAACUGAAUUGUGUGAGAGCCUGGUUUUAGACACACAACACAACCUGUUUACAUGGUGAUAGUCAUGGGAAGAGUGUCCAUGUUAUUCAGUUAUCAUACUUAAUGUAGCUGUAACACUGUCAUAGAAGUGGUUAAGAGCAACACUACUCUGAAGAGAGAAGGACUGGUUUCUGAGAAAGUUGGGUUGGUGAGAAUAACUGCUUUUGGCAAUUAAGAGUUUAGGAUUACUAUGAAUGACUGUGUAACAGUUUUAAUAAAACUGUUUUUUUCCUUGAUUUUGUGGUACGUUUUUGUACAAAGAUAAAGUGAAGUUAUAAGGUAUAAAUUUAGUUCUAAACAUAGUUACUCUGCAUAUCAAAAUGCAAUGCAGUGUACUUGAGAAAUUGUAUAGUGCAUAGUUGCACUCUUUUUUUAUAUGUUUCUUGUAGUUUUUAUUAAUGUACCUGUAUAUUUAGUGGAUAUCAGGACCUUAUAAAUAAUAAACAUUAUUUGUACAGAGUACAGACAAUAAGCCAGUGCCUCUGAAAAGAAGAUAAGGAUUACACGUUUGCCUUAAAACAAGAUCUUAGAGAAACUACGAAAAAAAUGCUAUACUUAUUGACAGCAGGAGAUCAAUAUCAAAAGUUUGUUUAUGUGCUUUUUAUUUAUAUGUUUAUUUAUUAUUCUGGGAAGACUGAGGUAGUGAAAAACAUGUGUUGAGGAUGAGUUUCAUUCUUAUAAAGAGGAAGUAAAAAUGGCAGAAUAAGCUAAUAGGGAAUUUUUAUGCUUUUACACUUAACGAAGUCCUGUAACUGGAAAGCAGCUACUGGGUGGAAAAGAGAGGUAUCAAACUUCUAUUCUAUUUGGUAUAUAGUAAUAAACAUUUAAACUAUCUACAUGCAGCAUUUUCAAUUAUAUGCUAGCCAAUACAAGCCAAAUUGGUAUUUCUAUAUGUUACAAUACCCUAAACUUUUUCAUCAGAGCAAAGAAAUAUGUAGUAAAUACUAGUGUUGAAUUCAGCUUUAGUUGAAGUUGUGUAAAGACACACUAAGAAUAAUCAAUAUUAUAUUUAAUAGAUGGAAAUUGUAAAAGAUACUCAGGUUUUUUUUUUUUUUGUCUAAGUGCAUUCAGGAAAUAUUUGUAAGUGUUACUGACAAGUCCCUAUUAAAUACAAAGACUGAGGUGAGGAUAAGUGAUUUAUUGAAGUUUUUAUUAGAAGCAGAGCUGGAUUAGAAGCCAGAUCUUGAUCUUCUUCUGUGGGAUCUCAGAUUUUCUUUUGCUUACACAUAACUAAAAAUUAAUUGCUUUAUUAUUGUUUGAUAACAAUAAAUGCUGGAGUUAUACUUGAAAUCCAAUCAUAAAUCAUUAUACUGUUAAAAUUCAAGCUUCCUGGUCAGAAAAUUGAGCUAGCAGGAAAAAAGGAAAAAAAGCAGAAAAAGUGAUGUGUCUGUUUACCAUACUGUGAGGAUACUGUAAAUCUAGAGAUCACUCAUGUUUUUUACUGUGAGAAAUGCUUCUUUUCAUUCAUGGUUUUUUUCCUAGUUUUAUUAGCUGCUGAGUGCUUAUUCUGAAUGUUAUAAAUCUCAAGUGCUUUUACAGCUUUAUAAAAGUGUUUAAAAAACCUGAAGUGGCUAAACACUGGAUAAUAUUUUCUUUCCUAUCUUGUGGCAAUUUUGAAUAAUGAGAGCUGACAUAUAAUCUAAAAUGUAAGGUUUCAUUUCCACAUGAAACCCAUCAGAAUAUUGUCUGGGUAAAUAUUCAUGAUGAUAAUAUACAGGUGCAUAAUCCAAUCCCCUCAGAAUUUUUGUUCAUUUCUGUUCAUGGUGUAAUGGUGAAUUCUAGUUGGUAUUGAAACGGUAUGCAAUUUUUUUUAAAUUAGGCUUUGACUGUAACACUCCUUAUUGUCCAGUUGUUCACAUACUAAAGCCAUGUAUGAAAUGGAGCAGCAGUGUGAGCAGUGAACACAUUGCCAGCCAGAUGUUGUGGCUCACAAAAGACAGAUUAUUUCUCCUGAUCUGCAGCUGGAUCCCAGGUGAUGCAACCAGUUAAAAUUGGCUAUGAGGCAAGAACGGAUCUGAUCCUUAUUUCUAGAUCCUUUUAUGAUGAUAGAAGAACUUUGAAUUACUCUUUUAUCAUAUGUCCUCUUUCAUCUUCUGGGUAAACAAGUUUCAGUAUCUGUGGAUUUCCAUCUCAUUAGAGGAUAGCUGUGCUCUUGAUCUUUGUCAGGCUUGAAGUUUGCUAUUUCUGUUAGAGGCACAAAAAGGGAAAUUGCUGUGUCUGAAAUCCAGCCCGGGUUAUUUCCAAUGAACCAGCUGCUUUAUGAGACAAUGCCAUCCCUCUUUUCUGACUUUACCUCAUGUGAUUAUUCUUCCUGUUCACCUCAGUAUUAUAUUUGUUCCUGAAACCUUCUUUCUGAGAUGGAGAGAUUUCUCUCUGUUGCUGAGUGUAUUGUUUAGUGGAACUGGCAGUUUGGAAAACUGGUUUUUUUCCUACCAAAGUUGACAGUUGCAGGGAAAGCAGGUAGACAGCCAGUUUAUAGAUUCCAAUAAUGCUUCAAAUGUUCUCAUCACCUCUGCAAGGGUAAGUUGGUAAGUUGAGGUAUCUUUUUAAUGAAUCUUGAAUUGUACAAAAGUACCACAUCUGAGGGAAAAAACUACAAGAAAAAACAUCAGAGGAAUAUCUGUGAGCCAAAUGGUCCUUUGAAGUGUGAGAAGGGAAACAUUUUAAUUAGUUAGAAUGUAUCUAUCUUUCAUUAUUCAGGUAGCAAAUGAAAACCAUAUUCUCAUUCUACCUGAAAAUUUUGAUGUGCCGUGUAGCAUAGAUUUCCAUCAUUCCACACUCAUUUUGAGAGAAUAGCAGGCAUAUUCUAUAGAAAGUUCUUUAUUUACCCCACUAUGCAAGUUAUUAAUCACUCAUAUUUUCUGUAGGUAUAUCUGCCAACACUAGGUGACUGCCACCUUGGCAGUGGUUUGGAAUUAGUUCCUUAGUUAUAAGUGGCAAAAGUCAGUCAAUAUAUUUUUUUACUGAUGGCAUCAGCAAUUAUUUCUUCACUAAAGAGCCUUGGUCUGAAAUAAAAACUACUGGUUUCUUUUCCUCUAUUUGCUGAUAGUUUCCUACAUCUAUGAAUGCCCCUUGAGUCACUGUUAUUUUAAUUGUAGACUCUUUCAUGCACAAUUUUGAGAAGGUUUUCUGUUUGCCUUCAUAAUAACUAAGUUUAAGGUUUGGCUUCAUUUAUGAUGUCUUCUUUUUCCUUGGUGAGUACACACCUGAAGGGUGGAAUGCCAUACAGAGAGACCUUGACAGACUGGAGAAGGGUGCAUGGGAAUUUCAUGUGGUGUAAUAUGGUGAGCACAAAGUGCUGCACCUUGGUUGGGCCAUUGCCAGCACAUUGAGGGAGGAGUUGUUCCUCUCUCUUCCCUGCUUUGGUAGGACCCCACCCUGGUUCUGCAUAAGCUCUGGGGUCCCAGCACAGGAAGGACAGGGAUCUGUUGGAACAAGUCCAGAAGAGGCCACUUAAUUGAUCAGAGGGAUGGAGAACUUCUCCUGUGAGGAGAGGCUGAGAGAACUGGGAUUGUUCAGCCGGGAAAAGAGAAGACUUCAGGCUGAACUAAUUGCAGCCUUCCAGUAUUUAAAGGGAACUUACAGAAAAGAUGGAGUAAUAGCAUAUAGUGACAGGACAAGGGGGAAUGUCUUAAAUUGAAACAGAGUAGUUCUAAAUUAGACAUUAGGAAGAAAUUCUUUACUGUGAGGGUGCUGAGGCAUUGACACAGGUUGCUCACGGAAGUUGUGGAUGCCCCAUUUCUACAGGUGUUCAACACCAGGCUGGAUGGGGCUUUGAGUAACCUAAUCUAGUGGAAGGUGCCCCUGCCUAUGGCAGUGGGGUUAGAACAAGAUGAUGUUUAUGGUCCCUUGCAACUCAGUCUCUUCUGUGAUUCUAUGAGUCAGUGAUUAUGUGCUAGAAGUCUUUGAUGCAAAAGGUCAAAGGCUAUCUUUGUUACUAUUUUUUGUAAAAUAUCUGCAAAUGUUAUCCUUACUUAGGUUAACAGUGCAAUCAGAUUCAGUAAUUUUACACAAAGUGGAUUUUGCGUGUGGUUAUUUGGAAAGAAAAAAUGAGACUGAUUUAAAAGUACUAAAGUUUUGGUAUUGCUUUUGGCAUUAUUGAUUGUAUAAAAAAGGUUAUUCCAUAUAAAUGGAUGUACUUGCACUGUAUGACUACUGUAUUAUUUACAAUUAAUUUCUCAAUUUAGUUAUUGUGCCUGGAAUGAGGUUAAAUGGAUUCAAGUGUUUAGCUGCUGUUUUGGAUAGGAUGCAAAGCUUUUCCAUUGCAGAAGUACUGAAAGUCUUGGAAGCUGAUGAUCAGACACAACCUUUUGAGACUUGGGAAUACUGGAUACUAUUUAUGAUUAACACAGUGAUGUUAAGUGUUACUCAAUGGUUUUGUAAUAAAGGUUUGAUUGAGAAACUCUAGAAGAGUACAAAGUUAAGUGUUAUAUUUGCUGUUUCAACCUAGUCUCUGAAUAAAUUAGCAUUUAACAAAUUCUGUGCUUUUCAAGGAUAAAAGAAUAAAUUAUAGUACUUUUGGAGUA